AUUGAACGCUGGCGGAAUGCUUUACACAUGCAAGUCGAACGGCAGCACGGGGCAACCUGGUGGCGAGUGGCGAACGGGUGAGUAAUACAUCGGAACGUGCCCAAUCGUGGGGGAUAACGUAGCGAAAGUUACGCUAAUACCGCAUACGAUCUACGGAUGAAAGCGGGGGAUCGCAAGACCUCGCGCGAAUGGAGCGGCCGAUGUCAGAUUAGGUAGUUGGUGGGGUAAAGGCUCACCAAGCCAACGAUCUGUAGCUGGUCUGAGAGGACGACCAGCCACACUGGAACUGAGACACGGUCCAGACUCCUACGGGAGGCAGCAGUGGGGAAUUUUGGGACAAUGGGCGCAAGCCUGAUCCAGCCAUUCCGCGUGCAGGAUG
rnacentral:rRNA from 1 species